UACAGAGGGGGCGAGCGUUGUUCGGAAUUACUGGGCGUAAAGGGCGCGUAGGCGGCCCGCUAAGUCGAACGUGAAAUCCCCAGGCUCAACCUGGGAACUGCGUCCGAUACUGGCAGGCUUGAAUCCGGGAGAGGGAUGUGGAAUUCCAGGUGUAGCGGUGAAAUGCGUAGAUAUCGAGAGGAACACCUGCGGCGAAGGCGGGUUGCUGGGCCGACACUGACGCUGAUGCGCGAAAGCCAGGGGAGCGAACGGG
rnacentral:rRNA from 1 species